rnacentral:misc_RNA from 1 species
GUACUCUCACACUCUCUGAUCCUUUGCGUUCGGGGAGCGGUGGACUUGGGUGUUUGCUGCCUUUCCUGGUGGCUCACCUCAAAUGCGUCAGUGCACCUCUUGGUUGGACAUAGUACGGCGUGAUAAGUGUCUUCGCCGGCACCUCGCGAGAGGGUGGCCGAUCGAGAGCUCUGUGCUCUCUAACCGUCUUCGGACAAAUUAUCUGACA